UGGCUCAGAGUGAACGCUGGCGGCAGGCCUAACACAUGCAAGUCGAACGGCAGCACGGCAGUAGCAAUACUGUGGGUGGCGAGUGGCGGACGGGUGAGGAAUACAUCGGGAUCUACCCUGUUGUGGGGGAUAACGUAGGGAAACUUACGCUAAUACCGCAUAAGAACUGAGGUUGAAAGCGGCGGACCGCAAGGCGUCGCGCGAUUGGAUGAACCGAUGUCCGAUUAGCUAGUUGGCGGGGUAAAGGCCCACCAAGGCGACGAUCGGUAGCUGGUCUGAGAGGACGACCAGCCACACUGGAACUGAGACACGGUCCAGACUCCUACGGGAGGCAGCAGUGGGGAAUAUUGGACAAUGGGCGCAAGCCUGAUCCAGCCAUGCCGCGUGGGUGAAGAAGGCCUUCGGGUUGUAAAGCCCUUUUGUCCGGAAAGAAAAGCAUUCGGUUAAUACCCGGGUGUUCUGACGGUACCGGAAGAAUAAGCACCGGCUAACUUCGUG
rnacentral:rRNA from 1 species